UGGUGGAGUGCACAUCAUCCUCCAUUCUCUGGCAGAAUCUGUUGCAAAGCAUUCGUGGUGUUCUCGUUUGACCUGAUAUGAAAGAUCAACCAUUUCAGGCCACGCAAACACCAAACAGCGCCAUUAUGAACUAUCAGCGGAGCGGCAAUACCAUUUUCUUUUUGGCAAGCAUCACAACUUGGAUGCACAUUAAUUGUGUUGUGCUAACUAAACAACAACUGAAAUUGCAAUCCAGAAGAAAGAAAAGGACGGCCAAAAUUGGUUGGUGACAGAUUGACACUCGCUCUUGGGCUUCAGAAGAAGCAUCAUAUUGAGGUGUGCCCAGUGAUCCAGAUUUAACAUGCUAUAUCACAUCACAGAAAUCUGUAAUUAAUUUUUACUAAAUUGCAACUAAAAAUUGACAAAAUUGUAACUUGUAGAAUAUCAUUGAACUUGAUGUCUAGAUUAUGUUCGGGAUCAGGAUGAAACAACAAAACAAAAAGGGAGCACACAAAUCCGUAUUAUUUCCAUGCCAAAUUCCGAAAUUGGCUUCAAAAAAUCAAGGAAAAGGAAUAAAUUGGUAGGUCACCAUCGAUGUCGUAGGAGAUUCAGGAUCAGCGAUGUUGAUAGACGCUGGGAUAGCCUCGUCGCCUCCUAUUUACCCUCAUCAUGGUUGGGGAGGAUGGCCGACGUUGGUUGGUAUGGCCUAGAUGCCGCCUAGGUCAGUUCGUCCUGGGAGCAGCGGUGCGAGCAGCGGUGGCGGCGACAGGGAAGCGGCAUGGCGAGGAGGAGGACGGGAUGAGCAACGGCUGGGAAGCGCAGGGCCGGCC
rnacentral:lncRNA from 1 species